GCCUUCUCACUGACUCCAAAAGUGGGCUCACUUUUACUCAGUAUUUAGUGUGCCUUUCUGUGUGUGGAGGGCAGAUGACCCCUCUCUCCUUCCACCCUAGCUGGGUUCCAGAGAUUGAACUUAAGGUGCCAAACUUAUGUGGAGAGUGCCUUUACCCACUGACCAGAUUCACCAGUUCAGUCAGAAUUGGGCUGUGUGUGUGUGUGUGUGUGUGUGUGUGUGUGUCUGUGUGUGUGUCUGUGUGUGUGUGUUAGUUAAGAUGUCAGGUGAGAGGUCAGAGAAAGAAAAGACAGGCAGGGAAACUAGCCCUCUUGGAGAAACUAACGCACUUGGGGGAAACUAGCCAGCUUGGGGAAACUUCUGGAAAGAGCUGAGGAGGGGAGAGGGGAGAUCUCUAACUCAAGACUCCAGCCAGCUCAGAGUCAGCUUACAUCAGCGUGCAGACUGCCCUAGUUAAAGCGCAGGCAGAGGGAACAGGGAAAGAGAAGGAAGACUUUCCUUCUUUGGCCUCGGUUGACCUUUGCAGGGUUAAUGAGGGACUUCUGAAUUAGGUAUGUUAGCCAGGUGAUUACUAAACACCUCUGGUGGUUGGCCAUUCCUGGGUUGAGAGGGCAGGGAGGACAAAAAAAAAAAAAAAAAAAAUCUAGAGAAGCGAGUUCCUUAAGUUUCAGGAACCAAAUUACUUUCUGAGAAUCGGCAUUGUUAAACCAACAUAGGGUUCCUAUAUAAAAUGACGUGACAGUACUCCAGUAAUGUUCUUGAAGCAUCCACACCACUGUGUCCUCUGCUCUGCUGCUUGGCGAUCGGGUUCCUACUUUGGCAGGAAGGACUGAAUGUCUUGGCUCUCCCUACCCUGCAGAUUAGCCAACCUCAGACAAGCUCUCUUAAUCACCGUUCCAUGCCGAGGAAGGAAAAUGGACCCAUUAUUCGGAGGAGUAAAACUGACUUUUUAGCCAUGUACAUGGACAUGGUAGUGGUUUGAAUGAAAAUGUCUCCUCUAGGCUCAGAUAUCUCAAUGCUUAGCCUCUAGUGGCUUAGGAAGUGUGGCCCUUGCUGGAGGAGGUGUGUCCCUAGGAAUGGACUUUGGAAUCUAUAUAUAGUUUGUUUUCUCUGUUUAGAAGAUGUGAGCUCUCAGCUCCUUUCUUUGGCUCCCCGCCUGUCUUCUGCAAUGCUUUCCCAACAUAAUGGACCCUCAUCUUGCUGGAAACUUAAGCCAAAAUAAACUCCUUUUAAAAGGU